ensembl:lncRNA
GAAUGAGUAACUGAGGGCCUGUCUACUUAUUUUCAUCUGGAAGCCAUAACUGUGCAAGCAGAUCAGGUGGAGCGUUUACAGUAUGCAGGUGGUGACAAAAACCAUUAGUGAAGGAUGUGCAUGCCUGUUGGGGACGUGGUGACUAAUUCAGCUCUCGUGUUGCUUUCUAAGUUACAGUGCGACUACGAGAAGGCCAGGGGCUCCGCCCCUCCAGCGUUGACCAGAACCCGAACGCACGCUGUUGACUAACCAGCCUCGCUCUGAUGAAAGCAGAGAGGGGCCUAUUGUCUCUCUUCACCGGUGUGUUCGUGGUCCACUACAUCACCGCUCUCAACCAUGUAAACAGCUCUCACAGCAGCACCCUCUGCCAUCUCCACGCACGUCAACAUUUGGAUAAAAAACAAUUUGUGGAUAGUGGUCCAGCAUGAGGAUUGUAAAAAUACAUUAGGAAGGGACAUUAGUAAUAUUACAGGGCCAUAUGUGUGGCAGACCACUGAGGUCACCUGACACUGAAGGUCACCUCUUGCAGUUGAAAUUAUUAAGUGCUUCCCCUCUAAUCAGAUGAGACGUCCCACAUACUGCCCGUGCACAUAGCAACCAGUUUAUUUAUAAGCCUCAAACUGAAAUGACCAGUUGGUUUAAUUUAAUAGUGAGCAAUAGGAUUAUACAUGGAAACAAAUUACCUAAGUGGGGGUACUCACUACAAAAAAAAACAAAAAAACAACUCUUUUAACAAUGAUGGAAACCACGGACAUGAUGUCUCCCAGUAUUAUUUCAUUAUUGGGUUUAGCCCCUGCAUCUGUCAGCUAGGCCUGGCUUCUGGAUGGGCCCAGCUUGUGUCCAGACUGACGCACAGCUGCUAGCAGCUCGCACAGACCCACGCCCCGGCCAUCCCACACUCCAGGGUCACAAAUGGGAAGGGCAGCAUACUAUCCCACCACCAACCACACACCCUAUUACCCAAUUACAAUUCAAUUUCCCAGCCUGCUGCGGUCAAAAGAAACAACACGUACUCUAUCUGCAGAUCAUGAUAUCUGUUAUUUCGUCUCCCACAUGCUCCCGGUGGGGAGCAUCUAUUGUGGAGUCGAGCCUCUUUAAACGUGAGGAAGAGCAGACAUUAUUUAAUGUGAUGGAGUACAAGGGGCCGAUAUCAGCAU